UACAUGGGGUGCAAACGUUGCUCGGAAUUAUUGGGCGUAAAGCGCACGUAGGCGGUUCGUUAAGUCGGAUGUGAAAGCCCUCGGCUCAACUGAGGAAGUGCACCCGAAACUGGCGAGCUUGAGUACGAAAGAGGAUCGCGGAAUUCCCGGUGUAGAGGUGAAAUUCGUAGAUAUCGGGAGGAACACCGGUGGCGAAGGCGGCGAUCUGGGUCGAUACUGACGCUGAGGUGCGAAAGCGUGGGGAGUAAACAGG
rnacentral:rRNA from 1 species